UGGGGAAUAUUGCACAAUGGGCGCAAGCCUGAUGCAGCCAUGCCGCGUGUGUGAAGAAGGCCUUCGGGUUGUAAAGCACUUUCAGCGAGGAGGAAGGCGUUAAGGUUAAUAACCUUGGCGAUUGACGUUACUCGCAGAAGAAGCACCGGCUAACUCCGUGCCAGCAGCCGCGGUAAUACGGAGGGUGCAAGCGUUAAUCGGAAUUACUGGGCGUAAAGCGCACGCAGGCGGUUUGUUAAGUCAGAUGUGAAAUCCCCGAGCUUAACUUGGGAACUGCAUUUGAAACUGGCAAGCUAGAGUCUUGUAGAGGGGGGUAGAAUUCCAGGUGUAGCGGUGAAAUGCGUAGAGAUCUGGAGGAAUACCGGUGGCGAAGGCGGCCCCCCUGGACAAAGACUGACGCUCAGGUGCGAAAGCGUG
rnacentral:rRNA from 1 species